GUCAACAUGGCGGAGUGGUUAACGCGAUCGCCUGCUAUUCAAGCGAAUUGUGAGCGGUUUCCCUUGGGAGCGUAGGUUCGAGUCCUACUGUUGACG